rnacentral:rRNA from 1 species
GACGAACGCUGGCGGCGUGCUUAACACAUGCAAGUCGAACGGAAAGGCCCUGCUUGCAGGGUACUCGAGUGGCGAACGGGUGAGUAACACGUGGGUGAUCUGCCCUGCACUUCGGGAUAAGCCUGGGAAACUGGGUCUACUACCGGAUAGGAGUCCUUUUUAGUGUGAUGGUUGGAAAGUUUUUUCGGUGUAGGAUGAGCUCGCGGCCUAUCAGCUUGUUGGUGGGGUAAUGGCCUACCAAGGCGGCGACGGGUAGCCGGCCUGAGAGGGUGGACGGCCACAUUGGGACUGAGAUACGGCCCAGACUCCUACGGGAGGCAGCAGUGGGGAAGAUUGCACAAGGGGCGCAAGCCGGAUGCAGCGACGCCGCGUGGGGGAUGACGGCCUUCGGGUUGUAAACUCCUUUCGCUAGGGACGAAGCUUUUUGUGACGGUACCUAGAUAAGAAGCACCGGCUAACUACGUG